rnacentral:rRNA from 1 species
UUGCCCUAGUAACGGCGAGUGAAGCGGCAACAGCUCAAAUUUGAAAUCUGGCUUCGGCCCGAGUUGUAAUUUGCAGAGGAAGCUUUAGGCGCGGCACCUUCUGAGUCCCCUGGAACGGGGCGCCAUAGAGGGUGAGAGCCCCGUAUAGUUGGAUGCCUAGCCUGUGUAAAGCUCCUUCGACGAGUCGAGUAGUUUGGGAAUGCUGCUCAAAAUGGGAGGUAAAUUUCUUCUAAAGCUAAAUACCGGCCAGAGACCGAUAGCGCACAAGUAGAGUGAUCGAAAGAUGAAAAGCACUUUGAAAAGAGGGUUAAAUAGCACGUGAAAUUGUUGAAAGGGAAGCGCUUGUGACCAGACUUGCGCCGGGCUGAUCAUCCGGUGUUCUCACCGGUGCACUCUGCCCGGCUCAGGCCAGCAUCGGUUCUCGCGGGGGGAUAAAGGUUCCGGGAAUGUAGCUCCUCCGGGAGUGUUAUAGCCCGGGGCGUAAUGCCCUCGCGGGGACCGAGGUUCGCGCUCUGCAAGGAUGCUGGCGUAAUGGUCAUCAGCGACCCGUCUUGAAACACGGACCAAGGAGUCAAGGUUUUGCGCGAGUGUUUGGGUGUAAAACCCGCACGCGUAAUGAAAGUGAACGUAGGUGAGAGCUUCGGCGCAUCAUCGACCGAUCCUGAUGUUUUCGGAUGGAUUUGAGUAAGAGCGUUAAGCCUUGGACCCGAAAGAUGGUGAACUAUGCUUGGAUAGGGUGAAGCCAGAGGAAACUCUGGUGGAGGCUCGCAGCGGUUCUGACGUGCAAAUCGAUCGUCAAAUCUGAGCAU